rnacentral:tRNA from 1 species
UGGAUCAUUAGUUCAGCGGUAGAACAUUCGCCUCAUAAGCGAAAUGUCACAGGUUCGAUACCUGUAUGAUCCAUC